AUACUUAUCUGGCAGGGGAGAUACCAUGAUCAGGCAGUUGGUUUUCCCAGGGUGAGGCUCAUCCAUUGCACUUGAGCUGUGCUGACCCCUGCGAUUUCCUCAAAUGUGGGAAACUCGAUUGCAUAACUUGUGGUAGUGGGGGACUGCAUUUGCGCUCUCCCCUG
rnacentral:snRNA from 1 species